rnacentral:rRNA from 1 species
AUUGAACGCUGGCGGCAGGCCUAACACAUGCAAGUCGAGCGGAGCGGCAGCCGGGGGUGUUAUACCUAGGAAUCUGCCUGGUAGCGGGGGAUCCCGUCCGGUACCGGGCGCUAAUACAGCUCACUAUCAGGUGAGCCUAGUUCGGAUUAGCUAGUGGGUGGGGUAAAGGCCUACCAAGGCGACGAUCCGUACCUGGUCUGAGAGGAUGAUCAGUCACACUGGAACUGAGACACGGGCCAGACUCUUACGGGAGGCAGCAGUGGGGAAUGUUGGACGAGGGGCGAAAGCAUGAUGCAUCCAUGUGGCGCAUGUGAAGAAGGAAUUCGGAUUGUAAAGCACUGUAAGUGGGGAAGCGUUACCAACAGAAGAAGCACCGGCUAAAUUCGUGGCAGCAGCCGCGGUAAUAC